ensembl:lncRNA
GGCCAAGGCUGUUGAGUGGAAGAACUGACCAGAGAAAGAUGUGGCUUGUAGUUCAUGAGUUGAGCAGAGCGGUGAACGGCGUGGCUGGAAGGAGUGGCUGGCUGGCUGACAGCUGGUUGUGGUGAGCGGUGAGGCUGAGGGUGAACCAGGGGCACGAGGAGACUGAGGUCAUGAGGCACAGAGAGAGACAAGGAUUGGCAAGACUUCACAAAAACACGAGGAGAAAACUAGUUGGCUGUGGCGCCACUGCUGUGGAGGCAGACUGAACAAUCUGGCGAAGACUGGAGAGUUGAGCUGGGGUUGAAAUACAGCGGUGGCCUGAUGGAUGAAUGGGCCGGGAAGACAGGUGGAAGCUGAAUUAGUGAGGAUGACUCCUGCUCCUGUCAUCUCUAAGCUCCUCACACAUCUUUACCUGCACAUGAGGAAAAUCACUCCUGUAGAAUGCAGUGGUUCAUCAGAACCUCUGGGGAUGUCCUGUGGAUUCUGUGGAUCCUGUGGGUUGCAGGGUGGAUCCUACCUAGACCAGGCUGAUCCUGGACCAUCCCACAGAUGCUCCAUCAGAUGUGGAUGUGGGGAGUGUGGAACCCAG